CUCAGCCGCUGUGAGCUGCACAUCCCAACCUCCUCCUUUCAUCCCUGCUUCUGGCUUAAUCCCAUCACAGCCUAGAAAGAAGUUGGGAAAGGAAGAGGAUUUCUGCUUGAAAGGAGAAAGAAAGGAGAGGAGUUGUAAAAGCCGGGGAUGGAGGAGGGAACAGAAACAUCCUUCUUUCAAGGAAAAGAUGCUGUGGCUGCUGUUCUGGGUACCAUAUGCCAGCUACAUCUUUGGAUUAAAGAGGCCUUAGAAAUACAAAGUAUGAUUAUCCAGGACACAGCAAUUUAAAUUGAACAAGAAAUUUUCAAGAAAUACAGGUAUGCAUGG